rnacentral:rRNA from 1 species
UACGAGAGGGGUAAACGUUAUUCAUCAUAAAUGGGUCUAAAGCGUAGGUAGGUGGCAUCAUAAGACUGAAUAGGACCAAAUUGAAAAUCCUUGAGCUAUUCAGUGACUAUGAAGCUAGAGUAUAACGGAGGAAAGAGGAAUUCUGAGAGUAGGGAUGGAAUCUGGUGAUCCUUGGAAGACCGCUUAAGGCGAAGGCUUCUUUCUAACUAAUCACUGACACUGAGAUACGAAAGUAUGGGGAGCAAAACGG